rnacentral:rRNA from 1 species
GACGAACGCUGGCGGCGUGCUUAACACAUGCAAGUCGAACGGGAUCCGGGCUUUCGGGUUUGGUGAGAGUGGCGAACGGGUGAGUAACACGUGAGUAACCUGCCCCCUUCUUUGGGAUAACGUCGGGAAAUCGGCGCUAAUACUGGAUGUUCUUGCUGCAUCGCAUGGUGUGGUUUGGAAAGGGUUUCUGGUGGGGGAUGGGCUCGCGGCCUAUCAGCUUGUUGGUGGGGUGAUGGCCUACCAAGGCUUUGACGGGUAGCCGGCCUGGGAGGGUGUCCGGCCGCGCUGGGACUGAGACACGGCCCAGACUCCUACGGGAGGCAGCAGUGGGGAAUAUUGCACAAUGGGCGCAAGCCUGAUGCAGCGACGCCGCGUGAGGGAUGACGGCCUUCGGGUUGUAAACCCCUUUCAGUAUGGAACAAGGAUCCUUCUUGUGGGGGGUUUGAGGGUACGUGCAGAAGAAGCGCCGGCUAACUACGUG